AUGAGGGGAGCUGAUCAAGCAAAAAUCUGAGUUGCAAUCAGAGUUCUUCAAAGAUCUCGACAAAUACACUCCUCGCUUCCUGGAGAAGUUCAAGACCCAGAGGGGGAAAGUGUCGGACAUAAACUUGAAUAUCUGCAACAAGUCACACCUGGGAGUACAGAUGUGACUGGGAGGUGAACAGCAGUCCUCCGUGGCUCUCCCGUCAUCCUUGGAGAUGACAACGCAGACUUCUUCAAGAAUUUGUGUGAGUUUAGGAUGGCAUGAAGCUUCGACUUGACCCUAUGGAAACACAGCAGAUGCCACCAAAGGGUCCUGAUCGGGGACUCUGAUGACCUUCUGGACGUGUCCCACACCUCCAUUGGGACCCUGACGGUGCUGAAGACAUCGUGGCCUCCUCACUCGCUGGACCUGGAGUCUACAGCUACUGCCGUUGUUUUGGGAGGAGCAGUCGUGAUGGGUGACCGUGAUGAUCUUCCCCGUGCCCUGUGGCUACUCUUCGGACUUAUUUACCCCUGAAUUUGGAGUAUCCUCAACGAGUGAGGAACACCUUCUGAAUUUAUUCAUAGAGUGCUUCUCACUUGGACCAAAAACCCUAAAAUACAAUCAUUCAAAAAUCUACUGAUGCCAUAAGGGACUGUGUUCAUGAUGUGCAGUCAGGCCCGAGAACUUCACCCUUCUAUCUCCAAUAGAACUCUUUUAUAGAAAAUGUCUGUUUUUGUUUUUCUGUCGUGAAAUUUAGCAAAUGCCGAAAACGCUGUGUUCAUCAUAUUUCUGCGUUACAAAACCUAAUCUGGCAACAUGUUCAGCGUUUGAAGCACGUUUGAGUUUUAAAACAUGUGUUUUUCUUCUAAAUAAACGUUGUCUUCCAUUGUAACUGUUCUCCUUCUUUUGUUUCAACAACUUACAGUUUUUAGUUCAGCUUACUUGAUCAUUUUAAGGCAAUCGGUUUCCUCACUAUUUCUAAGUAAUGGGAUCUCAUUGACUAGUAAAGUUAACUAGUUCUUAUUAGUACUGUUUACUUAAUAUAACUUGGAUCUUUUAAGUUGUCUUUUUUAAG